UACGUAGGGGGCAAGCGUUAUCCGGAUUUACUGGGUGUAAAGGGAGCGUAGACGGCAGGGCAAGUCUGGAGUGAAAGGCAGGGGCCCAACCCCUGGACUGCUCUGGAAACUGUCCGGCUGGAGUGCAGGAGAGGUAAGUGGAAUUCCUAGUGUAGCGGUGAAAUGCGUAGAUAUUAGGAGGAACACCAGUGGCGAAGGCGGCUUACUGGACUGUAACUGACGUCGAGGCUCGAAAGCGUGGGGAGCAAACAGG
rnacentral:rRNA from 1 species